GACGACCGUUCCACGUGUACGACGCGUACGACGCGAUACGAAGAUUUCGAAGGAUUUAGAAAAAUUUCUACCUUCCUUCCUCGAUUCGAAGGGUUUCCCGACCAGGAGCGAGCCAUUCGAACGGACAGAAACACGUGAUCGAGGAUUUUUUCGAGGCGAGUCUCGUCGACGAUCUAAGGAGGAAGCGUUUUCUGACGAGGGCGCGCAAUCUCGCCGGCCUUCUCCUGCCUUAUCGUCGACCAUGAAGAAACGUGUGCGACGAAGCGGACGACCUUUUGCAUGACGCGGCCUCUACACGCUGCCACGCCACCCACGAGGCGGCCCACCGGGAAUAUUCUCUCGUCUCUGGCCCUCUCGUCAGAUCAGGUGGUCUUCCGCGUCUCGCCGUGUUUAUACUUGGACGAGAGGCGUUCUCCAAGAGGCCACAAAGAACACGUCCGUUCGCGAACUGUUCGCCAAACGCACUGACGAACCCGGCGGCUGGUUCGCCGGUGACGUUGUGCCUCCACGGGUUCGAUUCCCGGAUGGGCAUGCGCCACGUACCACGGGUUUGGAGGGAGGCUGCUUCUAUUCCUGCUACUCGCGGAGGUGCAUCUAUCGGCGGGAGGGUGGUUGCCAGGGGGUUCCAAGUUUCUUCCUUUUUCUCCUUUUCUUUUGUCUCUUUCCGUCUUCCUUUCCCUCCCUCUUCCUUUCCUUUCCCCCUUUUCCCCUCUAGUUACUUCACCCCUCGUUAUAUUUUUUUCUUUUCUUUCUUUUUUUUUUUUCACUCUCCCGGACAUAGCGCGAGACCAACGUUCGCCAACGAUCAAACACGCGCGCCAGUUUCGAUCUCGACCCUAUGUAUCGUAUAUCGCGCGAAUUUUGGUGCAUCGGCGAAACGUAUUUCUUCUACCGCGUCUUCCAUUGGAAUGGAAACGUGAGGAGGAGAAUCAAGUGGAAAGGAGAUUCGAUGAAUAAUUUCGUACGUAACGUUUUCUCUUAUAGAUUGGUUUAUUUUACUUUAUUAUUAUUAUUAUUUAUAUAUCAGAAGACUAGAGAGCGAUAGAUCAAUGAUCAAAGUUGCAUUAACUUGGAUUCUUUAUACGUAUAUAUAUGUCAUCGUUUCACGUAUCGAUGAUUCUAUCUAUAAUCGCGUUUUUGAAUAUCCGAGAGAAAGAGGAAGAAAGGAAGAGGAUCAAGUACAAAAAGAUUCGAUAAAUUAUUUCGUACGUAGCGAUUGCUUUUUAACUUUUCGUCUAUUCGAAAUAGUAUAGUAUCGAUCAAUGCUCGUCGAAACUCGCGUUAAUUUCGAUACGAUAUUUUUUUUUUUUUUUUGGAGAGAAAAAGGAAAAAGACUCGACGAAUAAGAUUUCGUAGGAAGUUUUUCGUCUCGAUUUGCUUUAAGUCGGUCGAAAUUAAAUUUACAUUUGGACGAGAACGCGUCUUUGAACGUUUUCCCCCUUUUUCGGUAACAGGGCGGAUUAGGAAGAGGAAUUUAACGAGUUCCUUCGAAUCCCCAGCGGAAGUUUGACGAUUUAUUUUGCUGUUUCUACAGGACGCAGAUUUGUUAAACCGGGUAACGGUCUCUAAAGCGAAGUUGAGGGGUAAUUACGUCUUGAGCACUUGUUGCUCUUGCUCUUGUUACAUUUCUGCUUGUAUUCCCCGCGUAUACGUUACAUGUUUAAACGCGAUGAUUGAUCUUGCCGAUAAUGAUAUCGCGUCAAAGAUAUUUAAUUUAAUCUUGAUAAGUGUUUAACGAAUGGUAUUACGUAAUUUUUAUAUAAAUUUUUCUAUUUACGGAAUAAUAAGUCGAUUAAAUAAGCGACGAAUGCGAAAUAAAUUUUAGAGAUUUUAUCGGAAAUUUCAAUCCCUUUCUCGAAAAAUAUCAUAAAUUUUCGCGAGUUUGAUUAAAAUUUGGAUUUUCGUUCUCCUAUAUAUCUCUUUGUUUAAAUUUUAUUAUUUAUAAUCUAUUUUGGGGGAUAGUUUUUUCGAUCUGAUUAACUAUCUAUAUUAUUUCAUUUUUGCUCGGAAUCGAUAAAAAAAGAAAGACGCGAUGAGCAAUCCAAUCAAGACAUCCGAGCAAAAUAAAAUAAGAUAAAAUUCGUCGUCGAUCGUUCCAAUCAGUCAGUGCAUUCACUUAUACCAGACUUCAUUCAUUGAACUAUUCAAUCUCACUGUAGAUUUCGAAUUUCAAAAGUCGAUGUCCGUCUUUUUUAUCGAAUCGAAAAAAAUAUCGAAAUAUAUAUGUAAAUGUUAGAAGAAAGAUAUUUGCAGAAAAUGCGAAAUAAUUUUUCUUAAUCGAUAAUUGUAUACAAUAUUUCGAAUAACAAUACAGAUACUAAAACAUUUCGAUCGAUUUAAAUCGAAGAAAAAUUUAUUUUCUUUGUUCUAAAUUUGAUCGGCUUUGAAUUUCUAUUCUUUUUAUAUUUUUUUGUAAAAUUGAAUUAUAUCGACUGUAAAUUGACUUUAUAUUUAUUUAUUACUAUCGUGAUCAUUAGAUACGGGUACUUUAUAAAUAAUUUUGCUUAAUUUUGUAUACACUUACCAGAAAGGAAAAAUUAUAUAUCUAGAAGGCCAUAUUGGUCACGUAAAAGUCGUUUUUCCGCCAUAUUGAAAUUUCUUUCUUCUGCGCAGAAUGAAAUAUAUUGCAGAUUUGAUUUCGUCUAUAAAAGAUUGAAACUUUCUUUUAAUAAAAUUUAUAAAAACUUCAAAUAUAUUUCACUCUGCGCAAGAAUAUCCUUCACUAACGAAUGUCUAUUUUAAUAUACGAAACGAUUUUUAACUUCGGUAUUCGAAAUUGCGUCGCAAUUUUUUCGAACGUUCGCGUCGAAAGUUCGAAUAUUCCCGAUUCGAAUUAAAAUCUCUAAUUAAAAUAUCUAUUAUCGAUCUUCAAUAUGAUCUAUCAAAUAUUUACGUAAAUUAUUUUAUCACAAAUCACUUUUUCACAUUUUAAUUUACACAAUUUAACACCGACCGAUCAACGUCGAAACGUUCGAUCGAAGUAUCGACGAAAACUGUUACAUGAGCCUCCUACAGGAGACAAAGAGAAACAAAAAAAUAAUUACGAAAGUGACCGCAAGAGGAUCUCAGUCCUUCGUCGUGAGUGCGUUUGAUCCCGGCUAAUUGGUGUCUCGUGAAGUGCAAAGUUGAUUCUGAAUUGUUAUUGAUGCGUAUAUAUUUUAUUUUUGUGCAAGUGUCUCUCACUGAUUGUCAUUUCUUCUUCGCUCAACUGAAUUCCCUAAAUAUCUGCUUAUGCUGCCCGUAUGCGGAUGCUGUCUCGAGUGAGUACAAUAUUUGAAAUAGAAUUCAUUUCAAUAUGGCGUCGAUGUACGUUAAUAUGCGUCGUAUCGUUUUCAAGAUGAAUUUUGAAUAAUUUCUCGUAAAGAAUACAAUUGUACUAUGUCUUACUUUCGAAAAAAUAAUCGAAAGUAUUGAUAUUAUUUGUAUUUUAUGUAUUUUUACGGUUUGAAUUAUAUCAAGAUCGUAUUAUAUGUAAUCUAAAUGCGUAAUUGCGUAAUUGCGUAAUUGCGCAAAUGCGUAAAUUACGUUCAUAUUCACAUCGUUGUGACUUAAUUUCGCUCGUAUACUCGUAGAAUUUCGUUUUAUUUAUACGAGAUACACGAUCGUAAGUAUAUAAUAGCUAAAAACGGAAAGGAAACUGAUCUUUCCCAUUGGUCGAUUGGGUACGAACGUGACGAUCGAAACUGAGACAAUAUGGCCGACUAGCAGUACGGUUGCAAAAGGAAUGCACGUAAAGGCACGGUUAGUAUCGAGAGAAACCUAGUUAAUUCGGCAGGUUGAUUACGCGCGGCAGGUGUCACGCGCUAAAGUUACCAAGUCUAACCGCACGAAAUACCUUACGAAUUACGAGCAAGAGUUCUCGAUGCAGUGCUCGGUGCGCGCUUGUCCGUGCUGCAGUUAAUUGCACCCGCGACUGGCGAGCACUUUCCAUUCGCAAGGGAAUGGAAAAGGCGGUUUGUACGCGCGCGGGUGGCCCUCGCCACCGGAAACAAGAGAUGGAAGAGAGGUGUCCACCGCAACACCACUUUCUACGCACCGCAGACUACUCCCUCGAACUUCGCCGCCUUUCUAAUUUCCUUCCCCACGACUUUUGAUUAUACCUGAUGCGCGAGGGAUUGCGACGAAGUAAGAAAUGACGGUUAAAAGGGAUCGCGAGUUGUUUGGGAUGGCUUUAACCUCGGAUUUCAUCUCUUAUAUGCAGAUAUGAGAGAGUUUGCGUUGUCGUUGGGAGAAAAGCUUUUAAAUUUAUUGGAUCUCGAGAUUUAUUUUAAAUUUCGGAUCUAUUCUCGUGAAUUGGGAUUGGUAAAAAUAAUAAGAUAAUUCUCGUGAUAAUUUUUUUUUUAUUUAUAAUACGAUUGAUAGCAGAUAGCAUUCGUAGGCAUGAAAUUAUUUUUCGUAUUGCGACGAUAUAUCCAUUCGCGUCACGUUAAUUAAUAGCAAAGAUAAUCUCUUCUUCCUCCCUUCCAUAUUAUUAUUUUUAUCCUAAGAAAUGUACAUUUCGUUUCGAUUUUUUUCAUAUAUCUUUCGUUCUCUCGACUUCUUUGCUCGAUUUCACAGAUACACACAAAUUUCGCAUUAACGAUAAUUUCAAAGGAUGCAGUUCUCGCGGAUAUGAAUUCGCUGCAUUAUCAAAGAAAAUUCUGGGUUAAAUCUGAAUAUCUGACAGAUUUUCUGUUUGCUCGCGAUUCGCGUUGCAAUAAAGAAACGUUAUUUUCCUCUUUGACAGUAUACUCGCGCAUUUGUGAAUUAGCUCUCGUAUGAGCGCGUUAUAUUUUGUAUAAUUGCGAUCAACCUGUUCCAUAAUUUGCGUAGAUGUUUGCGCAUGAAUAUUCAUGUCGUGAACAAGUUGUCGUUGGCAGAUUUCGCAAAAUCGCAUGUUGUGUCACGAAAUAAGGAAAGGCUUCACGAAGUUUUUGUUGAAUAAAAACUGGAACAUUUUUGAUGACUGAAAAAACGGCUAAGCUGAAUGAAAGUAUCAAUGUUGUAGUUGAGAUUAUCUUUGCUUAGUAGGUUAUUUCGACGUAUGCAAAUUCUCCCAUCAAAGAGAUAUUUUAUUUUAAUAAUUUGUUCGUAUCAUCACAGACUGCGUAUGAUAUAUUAAUAAUCUGUAAUAUUUUCGUUUAAUAAUUCAAUAGAAUAAUAUCGGAAAUAAAAUAUAUAAUAUCUAAA